AUAUCAUCUGGAUUCCAUGUAAAUUUUCCAGAUAUCGAAACCUUUUUACACAGGUUAGACAAUUAGUUGCAACUGCCAUCGUUUUGAAAGGACUUGGUGCUAUUUUAUUUGUACUUGGUCAUGGAUUGGGAGCAUUGUUCCUGUUUGUCUACUUGCUGGUUAGCACUCCGCUUCUCUAUGACUUCUUCAAUUAUAGUCCAGACGAGCCCCAAUACAAUGUUCUGCUCGGAGAUUUCUUGCAGGUGUU